CUAGAGAACACCUGCCGUGACGUCACUAAACUCCACCCAGGCCCGGAGCUGAAGCUAACUGAAAAGAUUACAGGAGAUCUUCGCCACUGAAGGAGACAAGCUUACGGACUGCCCUAAUGAACCUCUUCACGAAGAAUGGUGUACCCCAAAACAAGCAGAUAAAGCAGCAAGAUGCACCUAGUGGAAGGGCUUAGACCCAUGUCCAAGUUGGACUGCAGGAAUUCCAACAUGCUGGAACAGAUGGACCUCUAGAAUGACUUGGCGUCUUAAUAAAAACCACAGUGAAUUCAGAAGGCCACAGGAUUUAGAGACCGCUUCUACAGCACCAUCAGCCCCUUCUCAACGUGUUAGCCAGAACAUUCAGAGCUCCGAGCAUGUAGGUUGCAUGGAGAUGGAGGACAAAGAAUUCCGGCAGUUGGCUAAUUUGAGCAGCCUCUUAUUAAAGGAGCCA